rnacentral:rRNA from 1 species
GGACCGUCAUUAUCGUCCCUAACGACAGGAAGUUUACAAUCCGAAAUCCUUCUUCCUCCACGCGGCGUCGCUGCAUCAGGGUUUCCCCCAUUGUGCAAUAUCCCC